CAAACACACAGCGCCCACUCAGUGCCCAAACACUCAGCACCCAAACACACAGCAAACACACAGCAACUAAACACUCAGCACCCAAACACUCAGCAACCACACAGCAAACACACAGCUACUAAACACUCAGCACCCACACAGCGCCAAAACACUCAGCAUCCAAACACUCAGCUCCCACCACUCAGCACCCAAACACACAGCACCUAAGCACUCAGCACCCACUCAGCACCCAAACACACAGCACUCAAACACACAGCACCCACUCAGCACCCAACCACUCAGCACCCAAACACACAGCACCCACUCAGCACCCACUCAGCGCCGAAACACUCAGCACCCAAACACACAGCACCUAAACACUCAGCACCCAAACACACAGCACCCAAACACUCAGUGCCAAAACACUCAGCACCCAAACACACAGCACCCACUCAGCGCCGAAACACUCAGCACCCACUCAGCACCCAAACACACAGCACCUAAACACUCAGCACCCAAACACUCCGCACCCACACAGCACCCAACCACUCAGCACCCAAACACACAGCACCCAAACACUCAGCACUCACUCAGCGCCAAAACACUCAGCACCCAAACACACAGCACGCAAACACUCAGCGCCCACUCAGUGCCCACUCAGCACCCAAACACACAGCACCCACUCAGCACCCACUCAGCGCCGAAACACUCAGCACCCAAACACUCAGCACCCAAACACACAGCACCCACUCAGCGCCGAAACACUCAGCACCCAAACACACAGCACCCACUCAGUGCCAAAACACUCAGCACCCAAACACACAGCACCUAAACACUCAGCACCCAAACACUCCACACC
rnacentral:lncRNA from 10 species